ACUCCGUGCCAGCAGCCGCGGUAAUACGGGAGGGGCAAGCGUUAUCCGAAAUUACUGGGCGUAAAGAGUCCGUAGAUUGUAAUAUAAGUUAUAUGUUAAAAUUUAAAGCUUAACUUUAAAAAAAUAUACAAUACUGUUUUACUUGAGUUUUAUAUGGAAGAGUGGAAUUUCAUGUUAAGGAGUAAAUUCCAAGAAUACAUGAAGGAAUAUCAUUAGCGAAGGCGACUCUUUAGUACAAACUGACAUUGAGGGACGAAAGUGUAGGGAGCAAACAGGAUUAGAUACCCUGGUAGUCCACGCCGUAAACGAUGUCUACUAGC
rnacentral:rRNA from 1 species